AAAGAAACUUGCGGUUGACAUCUUUACAGAAAUAACAGAUUUCUAGGGGCUAAUUGUAAGAGCUGGGAAGAAAAGAUUGCUGGGGGAAAAAUGAUCUGUUCUUUUUGAAGAAAACGUUGCUGUUUUACAAAUUUUUAAUUUUUGCUGAGAAUAUCUGUAGUGAUUUUCGCAUGAAUUUUACUUUGUAUAACUCUCUAGUUGUGAAUUUAAGUUUUUUUUUUCUA